AGAGUUUGAUCAUGGCUCAGCCUAAACGCUGGCGGCAUGGCUAAAGCAUGCAAGUCGAGGGAAACCCCUUCGGGGGAAUACCGGCGGAAGGGUGAGGAAUAGUAUCGAACGUGCCCCAAGGUGGGGGAUAGCCGCGGGAAACUGCGGGUAAUACCCCAUGUGCUCUACGGAGGAAAGCUCAGGCGCCUCGGGAGCGGCGAUACUCCUAUCAGGUAGUUGGUGGGGUAAUGGCCUACCAAGCCGAAGACGGGUAGCGGGUGUGAGAGCACGGCCCGCCACAUCGGGACUGAGACACUGCCCGGACUCCUACGGGAGGCUGCAGCGACGAAUCUUCCGCAAUGCACGAAAGUGUGACGGAGCAAUGCCGCGUGCGGGAUGAAGCGGCUUCGCCGUGUAAACCGCUGUCAGGACCCAGAAAGAGCUGAUCGGGUCCAGAGGAAGGGCCGGCUAAUCUCGUGCCAGCCGCCGCGGUAAUUC
rnacentral:rRNA from 1 species